GGCAUGUGCAGACUUUUCCCCCGCCUCAAACCAGGCUGGCCAUCGAAUGCAGCGCUUCUGUUGGCUAUAUGCCAAGGGCAUAAGACACUUACUGGUUAGAGUUAGAUAUAAUGAAGUGAUUUCAUUGGUUGAGACCGAAAUUAGCCUUGUUGUCACAGUUUUGCCGCGAACAUCAGUAGCUAGUUAACGUUAGCUACAUGACUUUCUUUAGAGAAGGUUCAAUCUUUGACUUCUCUAGCUACUUGGCUAGACUUGAUCGCAUUGUUUGUAAUAACAUUAUUUAGGGGCAGUUAGUUAUUUAAGACCUCGUUAACCUAUUCAUUUUGACCCAUUAUCUGGCAGUUUGAAUAAAACUAGCAAAUUAUCUCUGGUGACAGUCAGCUAGCUAGCUAAGCUAAAGUUAGCAAGCAACCGCGGUAGGAAAGGCAAAGAAGGUAGGUUACAAUACAUUUACUUUAGAUACAUUGAAAUAUGAUCAGUUACACAAUAAAACAAACCAUUCUGGUCUGCAUUGAUUUUCAGGGUGAAAUGACGAGCGUGGACGUGAUUUAUGAAAAGAUUCACUUCAGGCACGAUCCGAAAUGGUCUGUUCAGUGUUCGCAUGGGUCACCCGGACCAGGGCGGCUUGAUGAUCUGCGUCGCUUGUGUCAUUGAGAUGAUGGAAAGCAACAACGUUGCGUCUGUGAGAAAGUCUGUGGCGCUGUCAGGGAUCAGUGGGGUCUUGAAGAGCUGUCCUGGGGCUCUGAAGGAGCUUCUACUGCAGGACCACAGGGUCUGUCAGCAUUUCACAGCAUCUUUACUGGGCAAGGAAGAUAUGCACACGCACACACACACAAUCAAGCAAAGCCUUGCUUUAUCUCUGACUUUAUUUGACUCUUUUUUUCCGUACAGGGAUGCUUCACACAGUC
rnacentral:lncRNA from 13 species